CGGGAAUAUUGCGCAAUGGGCGGAAGCCUGACGCAGCGACGCCGCGUGAGCGAAGAAGGCCUUCGGGUCGUAAAGCUCUGUCCUUGGGGAAGAAGGCGAAAGCUUGACGGUACCCAAGAAGAAAGCCCCGGCUAACUACGUGCCAGCAGCCGCGGUAAUACGUAGGGGGCGAGCGUUGUCCGGAAUUACUGGGCGUAAAGGGUGCGUAGGCGGCCUUUUAAGUCAGAUGUGAAAGGCUGCGGCUUAACCGCAGGACUGCAUUUGAAACUGGAAGGCUUGAGUGUCGGAGAGGGUAGUGGAAUUCCCAGUGUAGCGGUGAAAUGCGUAGAUAUUGGGAGGAACACCAGUGGCGAAGGCGACUACCUGGACGAUAACUGACGCUGAGGCACGAAAGCUAGGGGAGCAAAC
rnacentral:rRNA from 1 species